UACGGAGGGUGCAAGCGUUAUCCGGAUUCACUGGGCUUAAAGGGUGCGUAGGUGGGCAGGUAAGUCCGUGGUGAAAUCUCCGGGCUUAACUCGGAAACUGCCAUUGAUACUAUCUUUCUUGAAUACCGUGGAGGUCAGCGGAAUAUGUCAUGUAGCGGUGAAAUGCUUAGAUAUGACAUAGAACACCAAUUGCGAAGGCAGCUGGCUACACGAAUAUUGACACUGAUGCACGAAAGCGUGGGGAUCAAACAGG
rnacentral:rRNA from 1 species